rnacentral:rRNA from 1 species
UACCUGCAGCUCAAGUGGUGGCCGCUACUAUUGGGCCUAAAACGUUCGUAGCCGGUUUAGUAAAUGCUUGGGUAAAUUGUGUCGCUUAACGAUACGAAUACCGGGUAGACUGCUAAACUUGGGACCGGGAGAGGCUAGAGGUACUCCUGGGGUAGAGGUGAAAUUCUGUAAUCCUGGGGGGACCACCAGUGGCGAAGGCGUCUAGCCAGAACGGGUCUGACGGUGAGGAACGAAGCCCUGGGGCGCAAACCGGAUUAGAUACCCGGGUAGUCCAGGGUGUAAACGCUGCUCGCUUGAUGUUAGUUGGGCUCCGAGCCCAACUAGUGUCGGAGAGAAGUUGUUAAGCGAGCUGCCUGGGAAGUACGGUCGCAAGACUGAAACUUAAAGGAAUUGGGCGGGGGAGCACAGCAACGGGUGGAGCGUGCGGUUU